rnacentral:rRNA from 1 species
UACGAAGGGUGCAAACGUUGCUCGGAAUCAUUGGGCGUAAAGCGCACGUAGGCGGCCUCAUAAGUCGGAUGUGAAAUCCCUCGGCUCAACCGAGGACGUGCAUCCGAAACUGUGAAGCUCGAGUAUGGAAGAGGGUCGCGGAAUUCCCGGUGUAGAGGUGAAAUUCGUAGAUAUCGGGAAGAACGCCGGCGGCGAAAGCGACUCUCUGGUCGGAAUCUGACGCUGAGGUGCGAAAGCUAGGGGAGCAAACGGG